rnacentral:sRNA from 1 species
CUUCUUCCCUCAGAGACUCACCGCACUGUGUUAAACCAGAUCCUACGGCAGUCCACAACCCACCUUGCUGAUGGGCCUUUUGCUGUCCUGGUAGACUACAUUCGUGUCCUCGACUUUGAUGUCAAGCGCAAAUAUUUCCGCCAAGAGCUGGAGCGUUUAGAUGAGGGGCUCCGGAAAGAAGACAUGGCUGUGCAUGUCCGUCGUGACCAUGUGUUUGAAGACUCCUAUCGUGAGCUGCAUCGCAAAUCCCCCGAAGAAAUGAAGAAUCGAUUGUAAGGGCCCAGGAACAGAGAAAAGAUGGCGGGUGGGAGGUGGGGCCUCCUGCACAGUAGUGAUGGCUUGCUCUAGCCUCAAAUUUAGGGAGGUGCUACCCUCCCUAAUAGGAAUUCCCCAUAGGAAUCUGGUUUUAGAUAAUCUUACUGAGUUGUCUCCUAUCUUCUGGGCCUGCCCUGCUGGCUGGCCCUUUAGCUAAGCUACCCAGCAAUUCCCAGACAGACAGGAAAGUCUUUGGUGUUUAUAAGGAUAUACCUGCUGGCUUUGCAAUGAGAGCUUUAACAUUGCUAU